rnacentral:rRNA from 1 species
CGGGAAUAGCUCAAAUUUAAAAUCUGGCCUAACAGCCCGAAUUGUAAACUAAAGAGGCGUUAUCGGACACGCAUCAUCUGUACAAGUUCCCUGGAAUGGGACAUCACAGAGGGUGAGAAUCCCGUCUGGACGGCGGAUGCGUGGCCAUACGAGGCGUUCUCAAA